rnacentral:tRNA from 1 species
AUUUAAAUAGCUUAAUUAUAGAGCGUAAUAUUGAAGAUAUUAAUGUAGUUUUAAACUUUUAAAUA